ACCGUGAGGGAAUGGUGAAAAGUACCCCGGGAGGGGAGUGAAAUAGUACCUGAAACCGUGUGCUUGUAAGCCGUCAGAGCCUUGUGGGGUGAUGGCGUGCCUUUUGAAGAAUGAGCCUGCGAGUUAGUGAUACGUGGCGUGCUUAACCCGUGUGGGGUAUGCGUAGCGAAAGCGAGUCUGAAAUAUGGCGUUUGUCGCGUGUUCUGGACCCGAAGCGGGGUGAUCUACCCAUGGCCAGGUUGAAGCAAGGGUAAGACUUUGUGGAGGACCGAACCCACCAGGGUUGAAAACCUGGGGGAUGAGCUGUGGGUAGGGGUGAAAGGCCAAUCAAACUCCGUGAUAGCUGGUUCUCCCCGAAAUGCAUUUAGGUGCAGCGUUGCGUGGUCCCUGGUGGAGGUAGAGCUACUGGAUGGCCGAUGGGCCCUGUGGGUUACUGACGUCAGCCAAACUCCGAAUGCCAUUAGGUGUAGCGUGGCAGUGAGACUGCGGGGGAUAAGCUUCGUAGUCGAGAGGGAAACAGCCCAGAUCAUCAGCUAAGGCCCCUAAGCGUACGCUAAGUGGGAAAGGAUGUGGAGUCGCGGUGACAACCAGGAGGUUGGCUUAGAAGCAGCCAUCCUUGAAAGAGUGCGUAAUAGCUCACUGGUCAAGUGAUUUCGCGCCGACAAUGUAGCGGGGCUUAAGCGUACCGCCGAAGCUGUGGCAACAACACGUUUAGCUGGCGUCAUUUAAUGAUUGUUGGUGUGUUGUUGGGUAGGGGAGCGUCCUGCAUGAGGUGAAGCCUGGGGGUGACCUCUGGUGGAUUGUGUGGGAGUGAGAAUGCAGGCAUGAGUAGCGAAUCUGCGGUGAGAAUCCGCAGCGCCGAUUGACUAAGGGUUCCAGGGCUAGGUUUAUCCGCCCUGGGUUAGUCGGGUCCUAAGGCGAGGCCGACAGGCGUAGUCGAUGGACAACCAGUUGAUAUUCUGGUACCGCGUUAUGACCGCCCAUGCUGAAGUCAUUGUGCUAACCAAUCUGCCCGUACCCCCGCAUGGCUUUCGGGCUGUGUGGGUGUGUGUGGGUCUUGGGGUCCCGGUGAUUGUAGGCAAGCGUGUUAACAGGGGUGACGCAGACAGGUAGCUGCAGUGCGCCGAUGGUUGUGCGUAUUUAAGGUUGUGGCCCGUCCCCCAGGCAAAUCCGGGGGACAAUGUGGGUGAGAACUGAUGAGGGACACACGCGUGUGUGGACUUGUGGUGAUCCUAAGCUGCCGAGAAAAGCCUCGACGUGAGGGCAUGACGCGCCCGUACCCUAAACCGACUCAGGUGGUCAGGUAGAGUAUACCGAGGCGUUCGAGUGAAUCGUGGUUAAGGAACUCGGCAAAAUUCCUCCGUAACUUCGGGAUAAGGAGGACCCCGUGGUUUCCCAACGCCUAGCGUGUUGGUGGGGCUGUGGGGUCGCAGAGAAUAGGGAGAAGCGACUGUUUAUCAAAAACACAGGUGCGUGCGAAGCCGUAAGGCGAUGUAUACGCACUGACGCCUGCCCGGUGCUGGAAGGUUAAGAGGAACCGUCAACACCCUUCGGGGUGUGAAGCGGUGAAUUUAAGCCCCAGUAAACGGCGGUGGUAACUAUAACCAUCCUAAGGUAGCGAAAUUCCUUGUCGGGUAAGUUCCGACCUGCACGAAUGGCGUAACGACUUCUCCGCUGUCUCAACCGCGAACUCGGUGAAAUUGCAGUACGAGUAAAGAUGCUCGUUUCGCGCAGAAGGACGGAAAGACCCCGGGACCUUUACUAUAGCUUGGUAUUGGUGUUCGCUUGGACUUGUGUAGGAUAGGUGGGAGACUGUGAAGCUGCCGCGCCAGCGGUGGUGGAGUCGUCGUUGAAAUACCAUUCUGGUUCAAGCGGUCACCUCAACCUUGGCCCGUGAUCCGGGUUGGGGACAGUGCCUGGUGGGUAGUUUAACUGGGGCGGUUGCCUCCUAAAAUGUAACGGAGGCGCUCAAAGGUUCCCUCAGCCUGGUUGGUAAUCAGGUGGCGAGUGCAAGUGUACAAGGGAGCUUGACUGUGAGACCGACGGGUCGAGCAGGUGCGAAAGCAGGAACUAGUGAUCCGGCCAUGGCACGUGGGUGCGUGGUCGCUCAACGGAUAAAAGGUACCCCGGGGAUAACAGGCUGAUCUUGCCCAAGAGUCCAUAUCGACGGCAUGGUUUGGCACCUCGAUGUCGGCUCGUCGCAUCCUGGGGCUGGAG
rnacentral:rRNA from 1 species